rnacentral:rRNA from 1 species
GGUCCCGCCUGCCCAGUGACCAACCACUUUAAACGGCCGCGGUAUCCUAACCGUGCAAAGGUAGCGUAAUCACUUGUCCCCUAAAUAGGGACUAGUAUGAACGGCUAAAUGAGGGCCCAACUGUCUCCUUUGAUUAAUCAGUGAAAUUGAUCCACCCGUACAAAAGCUGGUAUACACCCAUAAGACGAGAAGACCCUGUGGAGCUUAAAAUGCUUAAGUCAAAAUAACAGCACAACCAAAAAUGACAUAACAUUUUCAGUUGGGGCGACUACGGAAAUAAACCAAACUUCCAAGCCAAGAGCCAACCCGCUCUACCACAGACAAACAUGUCGAACUACCACCUGACCCAGAACCACUCUGAGUAACGAACCAAGUUACCCCAGGGAUAACAGCGCCAUCUUCUUCAAGAGUCCCCAUCGACAAGAAGGUUUACGACCUCGAUGUUGGAUCAGGACACCCAAAUGGUGCAGCCGCUAUUAAAGGUUCGUUUGUUCAACGAUUAAAGUCCUACGUGAUC